rnacentral:piRNA from 2 species
UGGCUGUCCUGGAACUCGCUCUGUAG